GAAGGAUGAAAUAGUUAUGUUAGUUUAAAGGCACUUCAAAGUUUGUUUUGUUUUAUGUUUUCAGGGCACAAUGCCUAUGUUAUAUAGGUACCAAGCUGAAGUUGGAGAGGAAAGGAAAGCUCUUCCUGAAAAUGCAGUAGUGCUGGAAUGUGCUGUAGAGACUCAGAUUGUUUUUCAGCUCUAGAGGCAUGUAUGGGAAUGUAGCAACAAUGAGGAGACUUGGACCCAGCACAGAGGAGUCUGAACAACAGAAGUUUGUUGGAGACUGGCAAAUACCUGUCCUAGCAGCUAGUUGGCUGAUUUGUCUUCACUUUGGUCCAAAC
rnacentral:lncRNA from 12 species